rnacentral:lncRNA from 1 species
UAGGGGGGUGGAGCCCAGACAGAAUAACAGAGGCUUGGGGCGUUGCCCUAUGUGACUGAUGGCACAGAAUUAUGGAGCUGAGGCCUCAUGUCAGGUGCCUGGUGUCUGGGAGGAUGGCAAACACCUUCCAUUUCUUGCAGGAACACCUUCUGGGUCUCUAGGGUUUAAACCUAGCUCAACCAGAAAACAGGCUGGCUUUCACGGGACCCACAGCUGGGGCUCACCGCAACAGGAGGAACUGUGUUAAAGGGUCUCAGGUUUAGGAAAGUUGAAAACCACUGAGCUAAGAGGCAAAGGACUGGACCAAGCUGGAGAGCACAGGUCUUCCUUAUUUUGAGAACCAGCAAAGUCGGUGAUAAAAAGUGUAGAUUCCCAGACAGGAGGCAGGUAGAACAGGAGGCAGCAGAGAGCUGGGAUCAAGUGAGGGGCAUCCUGGCUGGUGCCUAGGGUGUUGAGUCAUGGCUGCGGAGGCAGGAAAGGGGGCGGGGCAUCAAGCACAGGCUUGUAACUUUCCAGGUGGUGAGGGAUGCUUGUGAUUGACAGGUAUUCUGUGAGAAGGGAUGGGAAGCUCUGGUUUGGGCUGGCUGUGUGGAAGUGGGAGGGGAGUCUAAUGACAAGUGUUCAAGUGAUCAGGAUCGGGCUGGAAAGGGUGCGGAUUCAGAGGAGCAAAGCCAUCCAUACAAGCCUGCCUGGGUUGCAGCUGGCUGGGGCAGGGGAAGGGAAGUCACCUUUGCUCUGAUGUGUCAGAUUCUGUGUGAGAAUUCAUUUCCCAAGUGAUCGUUCCCAAAAGGAGAUUUGCUUAUAGCAGUUAGGGCGCCCAUCAUUGACCUAUGAGGAACAGAGCUGUGAGGUACAGAGGCUCAGGAGACUGGAGACACAGCCCAAGCAGUAAAGUUCUUUCCUUGUAAGCACGAGGACUUGACUCAACCCCCUAGAACCCACAUUUAAAAAAGAAAAGAAAAGAAAAGAAAAGAAAAGAAAAGAAAAGAAAAGAAAAGAAAAGAAAAGAAAGAAAAAGAAAGAAAGAAAAAUGCAGCCAGACAUGGUGAUGCACGCCUUUAGUCCCAGCAUUGGGAGGCAGAGCAGGCAGAGCUCUGAGUUCGAGGCCAGCCUGGACAGUGAGAAACUCUGACACACAAAACAAAAACCCAGCAAGACAGAGAAGGCAAACAACAUCUCAAGGAGGACACCGAGGUUGUUAUCCAGCCUCCACAGGUAGGCUCUUCUGGGGCCCGUGUGAUGCUUAAAAUAGACCGUCAACAAGAUUUAAAAUUACCGUGGAAGCUAACCUUCGGGAGGCUGUUCUUUAGACAGAAACUGGAACUGAAUCUCAGGAUCUACCGUUAGCCUGUUUCUGCUGCUGCAGAAGUUUCCAAGCCGUGUAAUUAUGAAAUAGAGAGACAGCGUUCUCACGCUCCAGAGGUAGGACUGUCCAAGACCCAGGCACCAGUACAUAAGGCCUUCUUCCUUCAUCAUAGCAUGGCAGAGGGCCCAUCACAUAGCAACAGAAAAAUUGUAAUAACACUGUUGUCCUUAUAUGAUCACCAUUGGAGGUGGUGUCUCACUAAUAAGAUUUAAUUUAACCCUGACUACCCCACCAAUGUCUUCCUCCAAGCAGAAUCAACAUAUGACAUGAACACAUGACUUGUGUGGGAUUUUCUUUUUCUUUCUUUUUGUCCAGAGGAGGUCUCACUGGGCCACCCAGGCUGGUAUUGAACUCCUGAUCUUCCUGUCUCAGCCUCCAAAGGGCUGAGAUUACAGGAUGUGUCAUCAUUUCUGCCCGCAACAUAUGAACUUGGAAGAGAUACAUGUGAUAUGGAACCCACACUCUCUCAGUGAUGUUCUAAGUUGUGACUGUAGCAGCCCCCAACUGGGAGCAGAACUCAGUGCAGGCUGAUCACCUGUGAGCAGAGCCUCACUUAAUCCAAUAACGCCCAAGACCAAGUUAAUAGCCCUGCAGCAAGGGUGGAGGUGACACCAUUGCCCUGCAGGUAACAAGGCUGAAACUCAAGGAGUUAAGUCACUUGCCCUCAGUGCUCACUUAGCUGGGCACUCAGCCCACCUGGCUCUGAGCGUGCACCCUGACCCAGCUGGAGAUGGUUGCAGGGUGAGAGCAAGUCUCUCAUGACUUUCAGGCUCCUCUGGGCCGUGAGCUGCCUGGCAGGGAGCCAGGAGCGGCUGGUUUCCCUCUGGCCCUGUCCACACUCUAGAAGCACUCAGCUCAAGCUGAUAGGCGUGCAGGUGUCGCGAGAUGGCUCUGACACAGACAGGAGCCCUCUGUGGGGCCCAAUGUAGAUGUCUGCCAAUCCAGAGCCCCCACCAUGGGGAAGGCGCCUCAUGCACACUUAGAAACACUGGCUCCUAUAUAGCAAGUGGCCUCAGAGCCCUGGCCCCCAGCUGUCAACGCCAGCAAUCUCUCUUAGGAGCUAAGCCCUCACACUUUCUAGGGCUACAAGGAGCCAGGUUUCCAGCAAUGCUAUAACGUGAUUUGAGCCCAGGGCCUUGUCCUCUGGCCAGUGGCUUCAUAGUUCAGAUUCCCAUGACCAUGGUAGGAUUGGUACCCAAGAGCUCUAGACCUUCCAGCUGAGCCUCACAGGGAACAUGACACCUUCCCAGUUCAGCACCAGGCCUCCAAGUCCUUCUGGCUUGCAAGGAGUUAGAAUUGUGGCACAUUCUGGUGACCUCUAGCCUAAUAAUCUAGAUGAUCACUCCCAUGAUGAAACAGUUAAUUUCUCAUUACAGGUAAAGGAGCAGGUGGGGUCAAAAUAUGGGCUGGGUGAAAAAAAAAGUGGAUGUUUGAAUAAUGGAACCGAACCUGGAAAUCUGAUCCUAAUAGUUAUUGGGGGUGUCUACAGUUUCCACACCUGGGAAGCCUCAUACAGUGGUCACUGCAACAAAAUACCAAGCCAAAAAAAAAAAAUGUAAAGAAGAAAGGUUGAUUUCAGUUCACACUCUCAGAGUACCUUCCACCUUGGUGAGGAAGCUAUGGCGACAGGAACUUGAGACAACUGGUCACAUUGUACCUGUAGUUAAGGACAUGGAGGGAGAAAGCCUCAGUCUUUUAAUGUGUCAUUCUUGGAGUGAGGAGAGCCUGAGCUGGGACCCAUUUUCUGGAUCCAAACCACAAAGCUUCUCCAGCACAAGUAUGCUUUAAACCUGCUACCUAAUCCUUCGUGGAAAGGAAGCAACAGCCAUCUAUCUCCCUGGUGUGGAACAAGGGUCAGACAGCUGAGCCUCUGCUAUGCCUACAGCUGCGAGAGCAUCUGCACACAGAUGGGCUGGGAGAAAGACUGGGGCCCUUUAGAUGGGAAAGUGAUACAGAUCAUAGAAGGGCCAAGAGGGCCUCAAAGCUUCUGGGUGAGAAGGUGAGGGGUAACCUUACCAGAACUAAGGAGGUUACUACUACAGAGAAGAGAAGACAAAGGACCCAGGUUAUAGUAACCUCAACAUCGUUUUCUAAAAGGCCGAUAUAUUCAUUAAAUUGUGCUCGGAAGCAGAGGUAGCCGGUGCUCUGCAAAUAUUUAUAGCAGCAUUUUAAAAUUCAUUAUGUUUUAUGAGUAAAGUAUGACAAUGAAUGUUAUGAAAAGGAUAAAUAACAAAAUAGCAGACACCCAAAAAGUGAAAGGCUCAACUAAUUCCACCAUGUUGGAAAUAAACACAGGUAGUGGAUUAGGGUAGUUAUACAAGGGCUUUAGCCAAUCAUCUGUUUAUAUAGUAAAGACACAUGGAGGGGAAAAGGUGUGUCUGAACUCAUCUUCCAGCUGUCUGUGACUGAAGAGCCCUCUGCCAGAUUCUUUAAAUCAAAACACCACCUUCUGCCACCUGGUGAGAGCGAUCUCAUUUCCUGAUAGGAUGGGGUAUCCCAGGCAUGGCUGUCUUUCCAGUUCAGUAGCAGCAAUCUUACCCUAUCAGUGGGGUCCCCUGCUGUCACCAAGAUACUUCUUACUUGGGGGUCAAUAUGGCAUCUGAAACAAGGCAUGAUGGGUAGGAGGAUUCUGUGAUACAGAAAUACAUGUUUGGCCUCUGUUCCUGCCUCCCGGUUUCUGACUUGAGUUCCCAAAGUCCCUGCCACACCUCCCCUCCUUGUUAUCAGAACAUCUUUGUUCU